rnacentral:rRNA from 1 species
UUAAGUUAAUAAGGGCGCACGGUGGAUGCCUUGGCACUAGGAGCCGACGAAGGACGUGACAAACGACGAUAUGCCUUGGGUAGCUGUAAGUAAGCGAUGAUCCAGGGAUUUCCGAAUGGGGGAACCCAACAGGUAAUACCUGUUACCCACAUCUGUUAAGGAUGUGAGGAGGAAGACGCAGUGAACUGAAACAUCUAAGUAGCUGCAGGAAGAGAAAGCAAAAGCGAUUGCCUUAGUAGCGGCGAGCGAAACGGCAGAAGGGCAAACCGAAGAGUUUACUCUUCGGGGUUGUAGGACUGCAAUGUGGACUCAAAGAUUAUAGAAGAAUGAUUUGGGAAGAUCAGCCAAAGAGAGUAAUAGCCUCGUAUUUAAAAUAGUCUUUGUACCUAGCAGUAUCCUGAGUACGGCGGGACACGUGAAAUCCCGUCGGAAUCUGGGAGGACCAUCUCCCAACCCUAAAUACUCCCUAGUGACCGAUAGUGAACCAGUACCGUGAGGGAAAGGUGAAAAGCACCCCGGGAGGGGAGUGAAAUAGAACCUGAAACCGUGUGCCUACAACAAGUUCGAGCCCGUUAAUGGGUGAGAGCGUGCCUUUUGUAGAAUGAACCGGCGAGUUACGUUAUGAUGCGAGGUUAAGUUGAAGAGACGGAGCCGUAGGGAAACCGAGUCUGAAUAGGGCGCCUUAGUAUCAUGACGUAGACCCGAAACCAUGUGACCUACCCAUGAGCAGGUUGAAGGUGCGGUAAGACGCACUGGAGGACCGAACCAGGGCACGUUGAAAAGUGCUUGGAUGACUUGUGGGUAGCGGAGAAAUUCCAAACGAACUUGGAGAUAGCUGGUUCUCUCCGAAAUAGCUUUAGGGCUAGCGUCGACAUUAGAGAUUCUUGGAGGUAGAGCACUGUUUGGGUGAGGGGUCCAUCCCGGAUUACCAAUCUCAGAUAAACUCCGAAUGCCAAUGAAUUAUGGUCGGCAGUCAGACUGCGAGUGCUAAGAUCCGUAGUCGAAAGGGAAACAGCCCAGACCACCAGCUAAGGUCCCAAAAUAAUUGUUAAGUGGAAAAGGAUGUGGGGUUGCACAGACAACUAGGAUGUUAGCUUAGAAGCAGCUAUUCAUUCAAAGAGUGCGUAAUAGCUCACUAGUCGAGUGACCCUGCGCCGAAAAUGUACCGGGGCUAAAACAAUUUACCGAAGCUGUGGAUACCUUUAUAGGUAUGGUAGGAGAGCGUUCUAUGUGUGAUGAAGGUAUACCGUGAGGAGUGCUGGAACGCAUAGAAGUGAGAAUGCCGGUAUGAGUAGCGAAAGACAGGUGAGAAUCCUGUCCACCGUAAGACUAAGGUUUCCAGGGGAAGGCUCGUCCGCCCUGGGUUAGUCGGGACCUAAGGAGAGACCGAAAGGUGUAUCCGAUGGACAACAGGUUGAUAUUCCUGUACUAGAGUAUGUAGUGAUGGAGGGACGCAGUAGGCUAACUAAAGCAGACGAUUGGAAGAGUCUGUCUAAGCAGUGAGGUGUGAAUUGAGUCAAAUGCUUAAUUCUAUAACAUUGAGCUGUGAUGGGGAGCGAAGUUUAGUAGCGAAGUUAGUGACGUCACACUGCCAAGAAAAGCUUCUAGCGUUUAAACAUACUCUACCCGUACCGCAAACCGACACAGGUAGUCGAGGCGAGUAGCCUCAGGUGAGCGAGAGAACUCUCGUUAAGGAACUCGGCAAAAUGACCCCGUAACUUCGGGAGAAGGGGUGCUGACUUAAAGUCAGCCGCAGUGAAUAGGCCCAAGCAACUGUUUAUCAAAAACACAGCUCUCUGCUAAAUCGUAAGAUGAUGUAUAGGGGGUGACGCCUGCCCGGUGCUGGAAGGUUAAGAGGAGUGCUUAGCGUAAGCGAAGGUAUGAAUUGAAGCCCCAGUAAACGGCGGCCGUAACUAUAACGGUCCUAAGGUAGCGAAAUUCCUUGUCGGGUAAGUUCCGACCCGCACGAAAGGCGUAAUGAUUUGGGCACUGUCUCAACGAGAGACUNNNNNNNNNNNNNNNNNNNNNNNNNNNNNNNNNNNNNNNNNNNNNNNNNNNNNNNNNNNNNNNNNNNNNNNNNNNNNNNNGGUGAAAUUUUAGUACCUGUGAAGAUGCAGGUUACCCGCGACAGGACGGAAAGACCCCAUGGAGCUUUACUGCAGUUUGAUAUUGAGUGUCUGUACCACAUGUACAGGAUAGGUAGGAGUCUAAGAGAUCGGGACGCCAGUUUCGAAGGAGACGCUGUUGGGAUACUACCCUUGUGUUAUGGCCACUCUAACCCAGAUAGGUGAUCCCUAUCGGAGACAGUGUCUGACGGGCAGUUUGACUGGGGCGGUCGCCUCCUAAAAGGUAACGGAGGCGCCCAAAGGUUCCCUCAGAAUGGUUGGAAAUCAUUCGCAGAGUGUAAAGGUAUAAGGGAGCUUGACUGCGAGAGCUACAACUCGAGCAGGGACGAAAGUCGGGCUUAGUGAUCCGGUGGUUCCGUAUGGAAGGGCCAUCGCUCAACGGAUAAAAGCUACCCUGGGGAUAACAGGCUUAUCUCCCCCAAGAGUUCACAUCGACGGGGAGGUUUGGCACCUCGAUGUCGGCUCGUCGCAUCCUGGGGCUGUAGUCGGUCCCAAGGGUUGGGCUGUUCGCCCAUUAAAGCGGCACGCGAGCUGGGUUCAGAACGUCGUGAGACAGUUCGGUCCCUAUCCGUCGCGGGCGUAGGAAAUUUGAGAGGAUCUGCUCCUAGUACGAGAGGACCAGAGUGGACUUACCGCUGGUGUACCAGUUGUCUUGCCAAAGGCAUCGCUGGGUAGCUAUGUAGGGAAGGGAUAAACGCUGAAAGCAUCUAAGUGUGAAACCCACCUCAAGAUGAGAUUUCCCAUGAUUAUAUAUCAGUAAGAGCCCUGAGAGAUGAUCAGGUAGAUAGGUUAGAAGUGGAAGUGUGGUGACACAUGUAGCGGACUAAUACUAAUAGCUCGAGGACUUAUCCAA